AACGAACGCUGGCGGCAUGCCUAACACAUGCAAGUCGAACGAGACCUUCGGGUCUAGUGGCGCACGGGUGCGUAACGCGUGGGAACCUGCCCUUAGGUUCGGAAUAACUCCCCGAAAGGGGUGCUAAUACCGGACAAUGUCUUCGGCCCAAAGAUUUAUCGCCCUUGGAUGGGCCCGCGUUGGAUUAGCUGGUUGGUAGGGUAAAAGCCUACCAAGGCGACGAUCCAUAGCUGGUCUGAGAGGCUGAUCAGCCACACUGGGACUGAGACACGGCCCAGACUCCUACGGGAUGCAGCAGUGGGGAAUAUUGGAAAAUGGGGGAAAGCCUGAUCCAGCAAUGCCGGGUGAGUGAUGAAGGCCGUAGGGUUGUAAAGCUCUUUUACCCGGGAUGAUAAUGACAGUACCGGGAGAAUAAGCUCCGGCUAACUCCGUG
rnacentral:rRNA from 1 species